rnacentral:rRNA from 1 species
GGGGUAAUGGCCUACCAAGGCGACGACGGGUAGCCGGCCUGAGAGGGUGACCGGCCACACUGGGACUGAGAUACGGCCCAGACUCCUACGGGAGGCAGCAGUGGGGAAUAUUGCACAAUGGGCGCAAGCCUGAUGCAGCGACGCCGCGUGAGGGAUGACGGCCUUCGGGUUGUAAACCUCUUUCACCAGGGACGAAGCGCAAGUGACGGUACCUGGAGAAGAAGCACCGGCCAACUACGUGCCAGCAGCCGCGGUAAUACGUAGGGUGCGAGCGUUGUCCGGAAUUACUGGGCGUAAAGAGCUCGUAGGUGGUUUGUCGCGUUGUUCGUGAAAACUCACAACUCAAUUGUGGGCGUGCGGGCGAUACGGGCAGACUAGAGUACUGCAGGGGAGACUGGAAUUCCUGGUGUAGCGGUGGAAUGCGCAGAUAUCAGGAGGAACACCGGUGGCGAAGGCGGGUCUCUGGGCAGUAACUGACGCUGAGGAGCGAAAGCGUGGGGAGCGAACAGGAUUAGAUACCCUGGUAGUCCACGCCGUAAACGGUGGGUACUAGGUGUGGGUUCCUUCCUUGGGAUCCGUGCCGUAGCUAACGCAUUAAGUACCCCGCCUGGGGAG